rfam:Anopheles merus strain MAF unplaced genomic scaffold supercont2.113, whole genome shotgun sequence.
GUCAGGAUGGCCGAGCGGUCUAAGGCGCUACGUUCAGGUCGUAGUCUACUCUGUAGGCGUGGGUUCGAAUCCCACUUCUGACA